rnacentral:lncRNA from 1 species
GUCUUAGAGCAGGAAUUUGGAGAUGGGGGGCUUGAGGGUACAGAUAAGAGGACCAGACUAGGGGACACCUAUCAACACCACUGCCAAGGACUGUCAUCACAACAGGGGAAGUGGAAGCAGAGCGAGAAGAGGACUAUUGCUAGCUCCCAGAUCCUGAAUCUAAUGAGUUAAGAUUAGCAGCAGGAGACCAGGUCCCUUUCCCUGGAAAUAACCUCUUGUGGAACAUGAGUGGAGAAGACAAUUAGACAAGAAAUAUUUAUCACUGGGACCAAAUUUUAACUAGAGUCAUAGAAUGAAGAGGUCAGGGCUCCAGAAACAAAGUGAAGCAGAGAAUUAAAAUAAUUAUCUGGAUCAUUCAGG